ensembl:lncRNA
UUUCUUUGGAGUGUUUGGUUUCCAAAGUGUUUGGUAUGUAUAUAUUGUAACCUGCUAACGAAUUCUUUCUGUUCAAAUGUGAAAUAGAAGCUGUAUAUACAGUAACAUGGUUUAGUAGUGUUGUGUUCACUCUCAGAAAUAAAGGUACCAUAAUUAUUCUGAAAUGUACACAUGUACCCAUGAAAGAUACAAAAGAUGUCCCCUUGAUGGUACCAGGCAACAAUGAACAGUGCAGCUAUUUUAAAAAAAAGCUGAUGUGUGUGGCAUGUGUGAUGUUUUUCACAGAGUGUCACCAACUGUUUCUUCACCUCAAUGUGCAGAUAAAGAGAAGAAGAAAAAACGCUGAGACUUUGCUGGUUCUACCUUGUCCUCUUUUACCACAAACUCCAUGCCGAACCUGGCCAUCACACACACUCGGCCGUCUUUCUUCAGCAUGUAUGUUUCUAUCAGAGGCGUGCUCUCUUUGGGCUGGAGGGUUGGUUUCUUGGACAUGUUGUGCUGAGACUUUGUAUCCUGGUUCAGAAACACCUCAGAGCUCAAAGAGUCAUUAACUUCAGAUGACACACUGUUUCCUGUAGACAAGGAACCACAAACUGAAAACACAGAUCGAGAUGGCUUUCGCUUUUCAGUUCUCUCAGCACAAGAGGGGUUUAUACACCAAAUAAUGUGGAGAAGUUUGUUUUAUUGGUGGCAGUAACAUAAAGAGUAAAAUAUGUAACUCAACUAGUUCACAACCAAGUUCAUCAGGGUUCAUAUCUUUUACAGAUUUUGUGUUUUGUUUUGUUUUUGAAUUUAUUUGAUACAUGAUGUUUGAAUAAUGCACAGUGAGACAAAAUGAAUGGUCAGAAUUCCAGUAGGUCAGAAUUUAAACCACCGCACUGUUGAAUUCUCACUGCUAAUCAGAAGGUGUUUAUUGUAUGUGGUUUACAUUAAUGCACUCGUUCUAAUAUAUUAUAAUUUCUAUAUUUCAAAUGACAACAUUAAAGGAGUUGCAGGAAUAGCUGACAAGUACUGAUUACUCUAUGCAUGUGAAUGCAUCCUCUGUAUCCUUCACAUGUCUGGGCUAUGGAGUAGGGUGGCUAGACAGAAGGCCAUUCUCACAAAAACAUCUAAGCCCAACAAAAUCACCCUAAACCAUGCGGCAAAAUGUGUUAUGGUCCGAUAAAACCCAUACCAAAAAGUAUGUUUGGCGCAAAAAAAAGCACAUCAAGAAAAAACACCAUACCCACAGUGAAGCAUGGUAGUGGUAGCAUCAUGCCUUAGGGCUUGAACUGGGGCUUUGAUCAAGGUGGAGGGAAUCAUAAACAGCUACAAAUACCAGGUGAUUUUUAUUUUAGGCGAUUAUUUUAGUGAAAAAAAACUGUCAGGUGUCUGCUAGUAAGCUGAAGAUGAAAAGGAAUUUCAGAUUUCAGGGACCAAAAGCAUACAUCUAAAGCAGAUAAGCAUGGGUUAACCAAAACAUCAAUGUUUUUGAAUGGCCUAGCCACAGCCCAGACCUGAAUCCAACUACUGUAAAAAUCUGUGUUGUGACCUGAAUCAGUCUGUGUACAGGAGAUGCCUCACAAUUUGAUGGCUCUAGAAUGUUUUUGCAAAAAAAAAAAAAAAAGCGUGAGAAAGCAUUGCCAAGUCAAGAUGUGCCAUGCUGAUAGACUCAUACCCCAAAAGACUGAGUGGUGUAAUAAAAUCAAAAAGGUGCUUCGACAAAGUAUUCGUUUAGGGGUCUGCACAAUUAUGCAACUUUCUUAUUGUAAUUU